GUGCCAGCUUUCGCAGCACAUAUUCUAAAAUUGGAACAGUAUAGAAAAGAUUAGCAUGGUCCCUGUACAAGGAUGGCACACAAAUUCGUGAAGUGUUCUGUAAUUCU
rnacentral:snRNA from 1 species